AGCAGCAUGGCGCAGUGGUAGCGCGCGGGGCCCAUAUUAUGUCGCACAAACUAUGCACCCCGAGGUCACUUGAUCGAAACAAGUUGCUGCUA